AUGGCCCCGUCGCCCGUCGCCCCCGCCGCUCCACGCGACGGAGGCCAUCUCUCCCCUAUUUCCCUCUUCUCCCAUCCCACAGGGCAAGUGCGUGGCAGAGCAAGGAAGGACGACCGACAUCUCUCUCUUCUCCCUCGCCCCGCUGCACCUCACCACAGCCUCACGCUUCCAGACGCUCGCCUCGAAGGAGGCAGCCGCCUCAACCGUCUCCACGCCCAGUGGGGCGCGGGGAGCGGGCUGCUCUCGCUGCUCGACCGGGCGCUUACCGUCGAGGAGCAGUACUGCCGCCAGCCCGCCCAGGUGCAGCGCAAGGGCAUGGAGGCGGAGGGGUUUGGCAUAGAGGGGAUCUCGACGGGCGGGCACGAGACCUGCGUCACUGCGCCGUCCCCAUUCUGUGGCAGUGUAAUAAAGGAAUUCCAUGCAAAAUUCUGCACCAAGCAUGAGCCUUCAAAGUUAAGCAUAACAGUCUUUGAUGAUACAAUGAGAAGGAAAUUUAAGCCAACAAUGCUGCUGAUUGGUGGCUCUGCUGCCUCCAAUGCUGCUACUCUUGGAUCAUUACUCAAAAACUACAAUGAAGUUGUCGGCGGAGAAGAUCCAGUGAACCCAACUACAACAUUCCCCCUUUUCUUUAGAGAUGAAGGGACCAUUUGUACUCUCUCCGUGCCAUGCCUGCGUGCAUGA
rnacentral:rRNA from 1 species